rnacentral:rRNA from 1 species
CCAAUAGCGUAUAUUAAAGUUGUUGCAGUUAAAAAGCUCGUAGUUGAAUUUCGGGAUCAAUUAAUUGGUCGUGCCUAUGGUACGUACUGAUUUUAUUGGUUUCUCCCUUCUGAAGAACCAUCAUGUCAUUAAUUUGGUGUGGUGGAGAAUCAGGACUGUUACUUUGAAAAAAUUAGAGUGUUUAAAGCAAGCUAACGCUU